UGGGGAAUUUUGGACAAUGGGGGAAACCCUGAUCCAGCCAUCCCGCGUGUGCGAUGAAGGCCUUCGGGUUGUAAAGUACUUUUGGCAGGAAAGAAACGUCAUGGGUUAAUACCCCGUGAAACUGACGGUACCUGCAGAAUAAGCACCGGCUAACUACGUGCCAGCAGCCGCGGUAAUACGUAGGGUGCAAGCGUUAAUCGGAAUUACUGGGCGUAAAGCGUGCGCAGGCGGUUCGGAAAGAAAGAUGUGAAAUCCCAGAGCUCAACUUUGGAACUGCAUUUUUAACUACCGGGCUAGAGUGUGUCAGAGGGAGGUGGAAUUCCGCGUGUAGCAGUGAAAUGCGUAGAUAUGCGGAGGAACACCGAUGGCGAAGGCAGCCUCCUGGGAUAACACUGACGCUCAUGCACGAAAGCGUGGGGAGCAAACAGG
rnacentral:rRNA from 1 species